rnacentral:rRNA from 1 species
GAUGAACGCUAGCGGCAGGCCUAACACAUGCAAGUCGAGGGGUAGAAGCAGCUUGCCGCUUUGAGACCGACGCACGGGUGCGUAACGCGUAUGCAAUCUACCUUUUACUAAGGAAUAGCCCAGAGAAAUUUGGAUUAAUGCCUUAUGGUAUAUUUGAAUGGCAUCAUUUAAAUAUUAAAGAUUUAUUGGUAAAAGAUGAGCAUGCGUCCCAUUAGUUAGUUGGUAAGGUAACGGCUUACCAAGACGAUGAUGGGUAGGGGUCCUGAGAGGGAGAUCCCCCACACUGGUACUGAGACACGGACCAGACUCCUACGGGAGGCAGCAGUGAGGAAUAUUGGUCAAUGGAGGCAACUCUGAACCAGCCAUGCCGCGUGCAGGAUGACGGUCCUAUGGAUUGUAAACUGCUUUUGUACAGGAAGAAAAAGAGUUACGUGUAGCUUAUUGACGGUACUGUAAGAAUAAGGAUCGGCUAACUCCGUGCCAGCCGCCGCAGUAA